UACGUCUAAUCUAGAGGAACUUCGACUGC
rnacentral:piRNA from 1 species